CAGACGCUAGCGGGAGAGACCGGCCGCAAGGCCGGCGCCGAAGGAGCAACCGCCCCGGAAACUCUCAGGCAAAAGGACCGCCUGCGUCUC
rnacentral:ncRNA from 2 species